rnacentral:rRNA from 1 species
AUUGAACGCUGGCGGCAGGCUUAACACAUGCAAGUCGAACGAGUGGCGGACGGGUGAGUAAUGCUUGGGAAUCUAGCUUAUGGAGUGGGAUAACUACGGGAAACUGUAGCUAAUACCGCGUACCAUAGGAUGAGCCCAAGUGGGAUUAGGUAGUUGGUGAGGUAAAGGCUCACAAAGCCGGCGAUCUCUAGCUGGUUUGAGAGGAUGACCAGCAGCACUGGGACGGAGACACGGCCCAUACUCCUACGGGAGGCAGCAGUGGGGAAUAUUGGGCGAUGGGGGCAACCUGACGCAGCAAUGCCGCGUGAAUGAAGAAGGCCUGCGGGUUGUGAAGUUCUUUCGGUAGCGAGGCGUUAACUACAGAAGAAGCACCGGCUAACUCCGAUCCAGCAGCCGCGGUAAUAC